rnacentral:rRNA from 1 species
UACGGAGGAUGCAAGCGUUAUCCGGAAUGAUUGGGCGUAAAGCGUCCGCAGGUGGCUGUGUAAGUCUGCUGUUAAAGAGUGAGGCUCAACCUCAUAAAAGCAGUGGAAACUACAUGGCUAGAGUGCGUUCGGGGCAGAGGGAAUUCCUGGUGUAGCGGUGAAAUGCGUAGAGAUCAGGAAGAACACCGGUGGCGAAAGCGGCCUGCUGGGCAGUGGCUGACACUGAGGCGCGACAGCGUGGGGAGCAAACAGG